rnacentral:misc_RNA from 1 species
GAAAUGCGAUAAUUAAUGUGAAUUGCAGAAUUCAGUGAAUCAUCGAGUCUUUGAACGCACAUUGCGCCCCCUGGUAUUCCGGGGGGCAUGCCUGUCCGAGCGUCAUUGCUGCCCUCAAGCACGGCUUGGGUGUUGGGCUUCCGUCCCUGGCAACGGGGACGGGCCCAAAAGGCAGUGGCGGCACCAUGUCUGGUCCUCGAGCGUAUGGGGCUUUGCCACCCGCUCCCGUAGGUCCAGCUGGCAGCUAGCCUCGCAACCAAUCUUUUUAACCAGGUUGACCUCGGAUCAGGUAGGGAUACCCGCUGAACUUAAGC